rnacentral:rRNA from 1 species
UACGUAGGUGGCGAGCGUUAUCCGGAUUUAUUGGGCGUAAAGGGUGCGCAGACGGUUUAUUAAGUCUAAAAUCAAAUCUUGGAGCUUAACUCCAUUCCGUUUUAGAAACUGGUAGACUUGAGUAUGGUAGAGGCAGAUGGAAUUCCUAGUGUAGCGGUGGAAUGCGUAGAUAUUAGGAGGAACACCAGUGGCGAAGGCGAUUUGCUGGGCCAUUACUGACGUUCAGGCACGAAAGCGUGGGGAGCAAAUAGG